ACUCAUCGUUCAGCAACUGUAGUACAGAAACUCGUGUUAUUCAGCUGUUCACUACCAAAUUAACUUUCACGUCAUGGGCCAUGGGUGGGCCGAUGAGUACGUCUUCAUACGGGUACUACAGCACUCCGGCAUCCUACUACACCUCCAAGGCUCCUGAGUACUAGACAAGGAAGGCCGAGUAUUACACGACAACAUAUGCUGCCCCUACCUACUACACCGAGCCCCACAAGUACUACACGACAAAUGCGCCCGAAUACUACACCACGGCAUCCUACUACAGCACUACACAUGCAGCCCCCACUUACUACACUACAAAGGUGCGCGAGUAUUUUACCACAACAUAUGCUGCUCCUACUUACUAUUCGGAGGCACCGAGAUACUACUCCGUACCGAGCUAUUACAUAGAGGCGCCGGUGUAUUACACAACAACAUAUGCUACUCCCAGCUACUACUCCGAGGCAAUGAAGUACUACGCACCUUCAAGCUACUACCAGACUGAAGCCCCCAGCUACUACACAACGAAAGCGCCAGAGUACUACACUACCACUUACGCCGCUCCCAGUUACUACACCGAGACUACAGCUUAUUACACAACAACAUACGCCACUUCCAGCUAUUACACUAAGCCGCCGAAGUUUUAUUAAUCGUGAAAUUGCGCUGUCCGUCAAGCUCGAUGACGGAAGAAUUAGAUCUUGUUUUAUUAUUUGCUGUCCUCGUUCCAAAUUGAGUAUUUCCCUGCCGUGCAUUGAUGCAUUAACUAGUCGGUCCAUACGAAUGUGGUUUAUAAAUGAAAUGUUAAAUACAGCUAUAAUGCCGUUACCAAA